rnacentral:hammerhead_ribozyme from 1 species
AUUCAGCUGAUGAGUCCCAAAUAGGACGAAACGCACGUUCUGGAU